rnacentral:rRNA from 1 species
AUUGAACGCUGGCGGCAGGCCUAACACAUGCAAGUCGAGCGGGGUUUUCGGACCUAGCGGCGGACGGGUGAGUAAUGCGUAGGAAGCUGCCCGAUAGAGGGGGAUACCAGUUGGAAACGACUGUUAAUACCGCAUAAUGUCUACGGACCAAAGUGUGGGACCUUCGGGCCACAUGCUAUCGGAUGCGCCUACGUGGGAUUAGCUAGUUGGUGAGGUAAUGGCUCACCAAGGCGACGAUCUCUAGCUGGUUUGAGAGGAUGAUCAGCCACACUGGAACUGAGACACGGUCCAGACUCCUACGGUAGGCAGCAGUGGGGAAUAUUGGAAAAUGGGCGCAAGCCUGAUCCAGCCAUGCCGCGUGUGUGAAGAAGGCCUUCGGGUUGUAAAGCACUUUCAGCGAGGAGGAAGGGUUAGUCGUUAAUAGCGGCUAAUUUUGACGUUACUCGCAGAAGAAGCACCGGCUAACUCUGUGCCAGCCGCCGCAGUAAUAC